GGCUUCCCAGCUCGGUUGCAUCGUCCAAUCAUCAUCUUCUGAGCUAGGAAGACCUUCUCUGCCGGAAUCUCAAUGCCCAGGUCACCACGAGCUACCAUGAUUCCAUCGCUGGCCUCCAAAAUCUCAUCAAACCUGCGGACACCUUCAUGGUUCUCGAUUUUGCUGAUGAUCUUGAUGUUCUUGCCCUUCUCUCCCAGGACCUUCCUAACCUCAUGCACGUCAGCCGCCUUGCGGAUGAAAGACGCAAACACCAUGUCCACGUCCUGCUCCACCCCAAACUUCAGGUCCUGGAUGUCCUUUUCUGACACAGCAGGGAGGUCCACAGCAGCACCAGGCAGGUUCACGCCCUUCUUGCUGCCCAAGGAGCCACCAUUUUCCACUUCUGUCACCAGGGAGAUGAGCCCAUCGUCCACGUAGAUCUUGCUGCCCACCUCCACCACCUUGCAGAUGUUCUUAUAGUCCAGCCACAGGAUGUUCUCGUCGCACUUCUCCAUGUAGGCGUUGUCCAGGGUGAUCUUCAGUGUGGCUCCCUUCUUCAGCUCCACCUCUGCGGUGCCGCUGCCCUUGAUGAGUCCAGUCCGGAUCUCAGGUCCCUUUGUAUCCAGAGCCACCGCAACGGGUCGGUAGAGAAUGGGAUCAGAUGCAAAGCUUUCUGUGGCUGCACGGACAUUCUUGAUAGUCUCUGCAUGGUACUCAUGGGUUCCAUGAGAGAAAUUCAGCCGAGCCACAUUCAUCCCAGACUUAAUCAUCUCCUUCAGCAUCUCCACAGAUCGGGAAGCAGGGCCAAUGGUACAGAUGAUCCCAGUGUUGCGGGCCGUGAUGGGUGCGGAGUCAAUGUCCAGGCGGCACAUGUGUUCCAGGAAGGUGUCAGCCAUGGCUGCAUGGAGCUGCUGGGUCUGAAUGAAGGCAGUCCCUGCUUCGCUGUCUGGCUUGGGCAUGGUUUCUGAGAUCCUCGGGCGUACUUCAGAUCCUGUUGCAAUACCUAAAGAGGACGUCUGUCGACUUAGGACGGGUCGCUGCUGUGC
rnacentral:lncRNA from 1 species